UUCACAUUUCCUAAUGCCCUCUAUUGCAUUAUAAAUAAACUCUCCACCAGAAUUACGAUAGUACACAACCCACGACUACAACCCUGUCAAGAUUCUAGUGUGACAACCAUCAUAAUUCUCUCUUACUCAGGACAUGGCAUCCCCUCCUAGUUCUUUGGUGUUCAUAGUGCGGAGGCGCCAACCGGAACUGGUAGUGCCAGCAAAAGUCACGCCCUAUGAGUUUCGACAACUUUCUGAUAUUGAUGACCAAGAAGGUCUUCGGUUUCAGAUCCCCGUGCUACAACUUUAUCAGUACGAUCCCUCUAUGCAAGGGAAAGACCCCGUACAUGUCAUUAGAGAGGCAAUUGCACAAACUCUAGUGUUUUACUACCCUUUUGCUGGUAGGCUCAGGGAGGGGCCUAACCGAAAGCUCGCGGUGGAAUGCACAGCUGAGGGUAUCAUGUUCAUUGAGGCUGAUGCUAACAUUACCCUAGAGCAGUUUUGGUGACAACCUUCAACCGCCGUUUCCUUGCUUGGAAGAGCUUCUUUAUAAUGUUCCUGGUUUCGAUGGGGUUCUUAAUUGCCCACUCUUACUAAUUCAGGUGACGCGCCUCCAGUGCGGUGGUUUCGUCUUCGCCCUCCGUCUUAACCACACCAUGAGCGACGCGGCGGGGCUCGUCCAAUUCAUGACUGCCGUAGGAGAGAUAGCUCGCGGCGCAACUUUCCCCACCGUCCAGCCCGUGUGGCAGCGGGAGCUGCUCAAUGCGCGUGACCCACCCCGCGUGACAUGCACGCACCGCGAGUACUAAGAAGUGGAAGACACCAAUGGCACCAUAAUCCCACUUGAUGGCAUGGUCCACAGGUCCUUUUUCUUCCGCCCCACCGAGGUGUCCGCCAUCCGAAGAUUUGUCCCGCAGUACCUCAGCACGUGCUCCACGUUCGAGGUCCUCACGGCCUGCCUCUGGCGCUGCCGUACCAUCGCGCUCCAGAAAGACCCAAAUGAGGAGGUGCGCCUGUUGUCCGUUGUGAACGCGCGGUCCAAGUUCAACCCUCCGUUGCCGGUGGGUUAUUACGGCAACACGUUUGCAUUCCCGGUGGCGGUGACGACGGCAUGGAGGCUAUGCAACAACCCAUUGGGGUACGCGUUGGAGCUGGUGAGGAAGGCCAAGGCGGAUGUGACGGAGGAAUACAUGCGGUCGUUGGCUGACCUCAUGGUUAUUAAGGGUAGGCCCCACUUCACGGUGGUGAAUUCUUACCUUAUGUCGGAUGUGACCCGUGCUGGGUUCGGAGAGGUGGAUUUUGGGUGGGGAAAAGCGGCUUAUGGUGGGCCAGCGAAGGGCGGGGUCGGCCUAAUAACUGGACUCGCUAGCUUUUACAUACCGUCUAGAGACAAUAGAGGGGAAGAUGGGAUUGUGGUUCCGGUUUGUUUACCGGCCGCGGCGAUGGAGAGAUUUAUCAAGGAACUAGAUGCAAUGUUGAAUGCGGAUGAAGAACUGAUUAGGGUUCAUAGCUCUACUAAAUAUAUUUUGUCUGCCCUGUAAAAUAUGAAUGUCAUAUACAUGCAUGUAUUUCUUUGCUUUUAUUUUCCCUAAUUAGUUUCUUUUCUACUGUAAUAUGGACGCCUCCUUAAUAAUAGGGAUGUUUUUGGAAUGAAUAUAUUCGAAAGUUCCUUGAAUUCCUUA